UACGUAGGGGGCGAGCGUUAUCCGGAUUCACUGGGCGUAAAGGGAGCGCAGGCGGCCUGUUAAGUCAGCGGUAAAAGCCCGGGGCUCAACCCCGGCGAGCCGUUGAAACUGGCGGGCUGGAGUUGGAGAGAAGUACGCGGAAUGCGCGGUGUAGCGGUGAAAUGCUUAGAUAUCGCGCAGAACCCCGAUUGCGAAGGCAGCGUACCGGCUCCACACUGACGCUGAGGCACGAAGCGUGGGUAUCGAACAGG
rnacentral:rRNA from 1 species